AACGAACGCUGGCGGCAUGCCUAACACAUGCAAGUCGAACGAGACCUUCGGGGAUAGUGGCGCAAGGGUGCGUAACGCGUGGGAACCUGCCCUUAGGUUCGGAAUAACGCGCCGAAAGGGGUGCUAAUACCGGAUAAGGUCUUCGGACCAAAGAUUUAUCACCUUUGGAUGGGCCCGCGUUGGAUUAGCUAGUUGGUAGGGUAAAAGCCUACCAAGGCGACGAUCCAUAGCUGGUCUGAGAGGAUGCUCAGCCACACUGGGACUGAGAGACGGCCCAGACUCCUACGCGAGGCAGCAGUGGGGAAUUUUCGACCAUGGGCUGACGCCUGAUCCAGCAAUGCCGCGUGAGUGAUCCCGGCCUUAGGGUUGUAAAGCUCUUUUACCCGGGAUGCGAAUGACAGUACCGGGAGAAUAAGCUCCGGCUAACUCCUUG
rnacentral:rRNA from 1 species